rnacentral:rRNA from 1 species
UACGUAGGUGGCAAGCGAUACUCGGAAUCACUAGGCGUAAAGCGCAGGUAGGCGGUUUGGUAAGUUUCUUGUGAAAGCUCCCGGCUUAACUGGGAGAGGCCAAGGAAAACUACCAGGCUAGAGUGCGGUAGAGGAUGGCGGAGUUCCCGGUGUAGCAGUGAAAUGCGUAGAGAUCGGGAGGAACAUCUGUGGCGAAGGCGGCCAUCUGGACCAGCACUGACACUGAGGCACGAAAAGCGUGGGGAGCAAACAGG